GGAAGGAUCAUUACCGAGUUGAUUCGAGCUCCGGCUCGACUCUCCCACCCUAUGUGUACCUACCUCUGUUGCUUUGGCGGGCCGCGGUCCUCCGCACCGGCCCCCCUUCGGGGGCUGGCCAGCGCCCGCCAGAGGACCACAAAACUCCAGUCAGUGAACGUCGCAGUCUGAAAAACAAGUUAAUAAACUAAAACUUUCAACAACGGAUCUCUUGGUUCUGGCAUCGAUGAAGAACGCAGCGAAAUGCGAUAAGUAAUGUGAAUUGCAGAAUUCAGUGAAUCAUCGAAUCUUUGAACGCACAUUGCGCCCCUUGGUAUUCCGAGGGGCAUGCCUGUUCGAGCGUCAUUUCAACCCUCAAGCUCUGCUUGGUAUUGGGCUCCGUCCUCCACGGACGCGCCUCAAAGACCUCGGCGGUGGCGUCUUGCCUCAAGCGUAGUAGAAAACACCUCGCUUUGGAGCGCACGGCGUCGCCCGCCGGACGAACCUUUGAAUUUUUCUCAAGGUUGACCUCGGAU
rnacentral:rRNA from 1 species